UUAAACACCAUUUCCUGUACGAACACCGAAGCUAAGCAACGUCGAACCAAGUCAGUACCAAAAUGGGUGUGCGUUUCGGAAUACCAGGUGCUGUAAG